rnacentral:tRNA from 1 species
GACAAGGUGCCCGAGUGGUUAAGGCAAUGGGCUACUAAUCCAUGUGUGGGUUCAAAUCCUGGCCUUGUGA